UCCUGCGCCGCCGCCGCCAACACCCCUCAGCCCAACUGCCGCGGGCUUAGCUGGCCGAAGGAAGCGCGGGGAGCGAGCGAGCGGGCGGGCGGGCGGGCGGGGGAGAGUUUCCCGAAGAAGAGCCGGAGGAAAGUGGCGGCGCGCCGUCUCCGGCGGCUUAUCCGGGGCCGGCGGGACCCGCGUCCGAGCGCCCCGAAAGAACGGCCGAGGGGGAGGGGGGCAGUCAGCCGGCCGGGACCCAGGAGAAGGAGCGUUAGCCCCGCGCGGCAGAGGGAGGCGGCGGCGGCGGCGGCGGCGGCGAGGAAAUGGAUGCUCUCGGCGAGUUCCUGCUGGCGGGGAAAGUUUUGCUUGGGGUCCUCCCGCAGCCAGGCUUAAAGCCGCCUCGGUGUCCGGGCUCUUCUGAUUGGACGCUUCCAGCGCCUAUCGGAGCGCGCGCCCACAGUCCAAGCGGCGGCAGCGGGAGGCAGCGGGCGGGCGGGCGCGGAGGGCGGCCGCCCCGAGGCGGUCUGGCCUCAGCCUGACGCUGAAGGGAGCUUUUGCGGCGGAGCUUGGCUCGCUCUCGGACGCUCUGAGGCUCGGACGCUCUGCUUGGAGCCGAGCGACGGACUGCCGGGAUGUAGGAAAACGAGAAGCUUCGAGGUCCCCCCACCCCACCCCACCCCACCCCCUCGUCUCUCCCAUCUGCCCUCAGAAAGGAGACGCGUCAGGAGCUUGCAAGAGGAGCCGCUUCUCAAGUGUCAGCCAAGGGGAACGAAAUUCUGUGCAAAUCAAUUAUUGCAGGCUUUAGAAGGAGGAGAAGGAGAAGGAGAAGGAGAAGGAGAAGGAGAAGAAGGAGAAGAAGAAGAAGAAGAAGAAGAAGAAGAAGAAGAAGAAGAAGAAGAAGAAGAAGAAGAAGAAGAAGAAGAAGAAGAACCACCCACCGUCAGCCAAGCCAGCUCACCAACCUACCCCCCUCUUCCCCCUCCUUUCCUCGGCCCAUCACUUUGCUGGCUACCCAUCCAUCUAACCCUUCAGCCAACCAACUGGCCUCCUUCUCCUUUUCAAGAUUGGCUCGUUCCCGCUCGUUUUCAAAUGUGGCAGGCACUCCAGAUGGAUCUGCAAAAGCAAUUUAUCUCUUAUGCUUAUGCACUGAGGUGUGAAGUUAACAAAUUGUGGUUUAGUCAGCAAGACCCGAGUUUGAAAACCUGUACGUCAGGCCCUGAGUUUUGUGCAGGAAUAACCCACCGUGUGCCAAAUACUCUGGACUACAACUCCCACAGUCCCCAACCAGGAUGACCAGCAAUAAGGAGAGGAGGUACGAUCUAGUAUGAAGCUGAAGUACAUGUGGCAUUAGCGUAUCCAGAGUUCAGCCGGAAUGGCUACAAUACCAAAUGGACGAAACUGCCUCAAGCACAAUAAAAUAACUCCCUUAUUAUCUUUUACUCAACAAAUAAAAUCGACCGACCGCCACUGCUUGUGGCUUCCUACAUAAGCAUCUUCGCCUGAAAUUAAGAAUAAUUAAAAUGCCCUUAAAUCCUCUGCGUUUAUUCAGGAGCGGCCCUGAAUUCCAGAGGAUCUUCUCUCUUUUUAAGUACCAAUUGCAGUUUUCAUGGAGUAGGUGCUGGCUAAGCUGGAAAGUUUAGACAUGGGGUCCCCAAACUUGCUGGCUAUGCUGGCUGGAGGAUUCUGGGAGUGGAAAUCCACAAGUCUUAAAGUUGCCAAGUUUGGAGACCUCUGGCUUAGACAAUAUCCUAUAAAAGCAGAACCCUUUGAUUGAAGGGCAUUACUUGUUAACGAUGUGUGGAGGAGGGAAAUCCGCUGCACUUUAUCAUUACAACCGAGCACACGUCUUGGUUAAUUUUAAAGUAAUUUUAGCUACAAUUCUCUUUGGCUUCUCUUUGGUCAGGGGAAAUUUUUGGAUCGAACCCGUUUUAUAUUUCUGCAAGGGUACUAUAGCAGACGGCUUCAUCCGCCGCCUUAAACUAACCGGAAAUGCUGGGAAAUGUAGUCUGAGAAUAUCUGGAGACCAAUGGAUUGAGAAGAGGAGAAAUGAAUACACCUUUCCCUGGUAAAUCAGCCUAAGGCUGCAACUUGAAGCAACCCUGGGCUGCCUGCUUAAAAAUUC
ensembl:lncRNA